rnacentral:rRNA from 1 species
AUGCCUCCCUCCGCGCUCCCCCUCCCGCUCCCCGCCGCCCUCCGCGGCGGCAGGCCGUCGGACGCCCGCCGCCGGGGCCGCCUCUUCACCCUCGCGCUGGCCCUCCUCCUCGCGGCCCUCGCCCUCGCCGCCUACCUCUCCUCCCCCAGCGCCGCGCGACCGCUCGCCGCCGCGGAGGCCGGCCGGCGCUGCGGUGGAAUCCAGGGCCUCGAGCUCUGGGGCCCCGCGCUCAACUGGGGCUCCAGCCACCGCCUGCCCUCCGCCGCCGCCUGCUGCGCCGCCUGCAGGGCCCACCGCCGCUGCGACUCCUGGGUCUUCUGCGGGGACCGCCGCAGGUGCGGCAGCCGCUUCGGCGAGUGCUGGCUGAAGAAGCAGAACGAUGCCAUGGCCCCUGCUGUGAUCGCGAGGGGGGAGGAUGUCAUGUGGACCUCCGGCCUCGUCUUCGGAAAAUCGUCACAGGGGAUCGUGGGGCUGGAAACAAGUGCCGGCACGCUUCGCGUUCAAUUGCUGCCUGAUUGUGCACCCCAUUCUGUGGAUUACUUCAUCGAGCUGUUGCGCCUGCACAACUGCGCCGGAUGCAGAUUCUAUCGUGCCGAAGGCCGUGGGCACCUGUGGGACGCAAAAGGAGACCACGUAAAAAAUGCUGCAUUUGGUCCACCAUACGCGCUGCUGCAAGGGACACUGGAAGUCGACGGCGUGGCCUUCAAGGAGAUGCCGAAGGAAGGGUGCUCGACAGUGAGAAGGGGGUCCGUGGCGUGGAUCGGGUCAGGGCCGGAGUUCCUGAUCAGCCUGGCGGACCACGAGGAGUGGAGAGACGCCUACACGGUGUUCGGGUCCGUGGUGCCGGAGGACAUGGCCAUCGCCGAGGAGAUGGCGAUGCUCCCCACCAGCACAGACGUCUGGAGCGGUGUGACCGUCAGGCUGCUGAAGGACCCGGUGUAUAUCAAGGUGAAGAGGAGAAGCAACGCGACCGCCUACUGA